rnacentral:lncRNA from 1 species
GAGGGAUUUGAGGAGGGGAUCGGAAUGUGGCUCCAGUUCGGGAGGCGUUACCUGCGGAGGGUUUGAGGAAGGCCCAGGAGCGAGCCCAUGGUCUUCCGACGCGGGGCCAGGGGCGGGCCCCAGGAUCCGGAGCUUCGGGGGGGCCGAGUCCGGGUUUGGGGCCCGGGAGGCGGGGCCAGUUAGGUCGAGGGUCCCUGGGAUCGUCGGGUCAGGCCUUGGGCUAACGUAGGCACUCUCGCAGUUCCUCCGCCUUCAGGAAGGUCUUUUUAGCAGGGGCCUUACGGGUGCAUGCUUCGGUCCUGGAGGACUUAGGCUAGCCUCCUCUCCAUCAGCGCCACCCGUCUGGGGCCCGAAAGGAGGGAGCUUUCCCUCUGUCCCCCAGCCUUUGGACUGUCACCAAACAAGCCAUUCGUUCACCAAAUACUUUUUAAGCGCCUACCAUGUGCCUGACAAGGGAUAUGUAACGGUGAGAAAAACUAGGUGUGGUCCAGGCCCUUCAGGGACUCAGGGGCUCGUGGAAGAAGUGGAUAUUGAAGUACUUAUCACACAAAGGAGGAUAAAAGUACGAUAGCGAUAUCUACCACGAAGCUGUUGUUCCACACCAGAACCAAAUGAGCGCAAGAUCUGACAAAAAAAAAAGGUUCAUCUUUUAUUCUUCCAAACACUUUCAUUUAAAUCAAGAGGAUGGGAUGUGGUUAUUACUGUGUUUUUAGACAAAAUCAAUGGUUUCUGGCUCUGAGAUGUUGCAUACACCCUCUCAGUCCCUGUAUCCUGAGAUGGAGUCACCUGAGAAUCCACAGCAAGUCCUAACCAGGGAUGGGUCUGGGUGAUUAAGGAAGAUUGGCUUCAGAACUGGGCCAGGGGCACUGCUUUGCUUUUGCUGUUUUGAUCAGCUCUCUGCCUGCAGGAGACGAGGAAAACCAAUGGGAACAGAGAGUCUCCCUCUGUUGCCAGGCUGGAGUGCAGCGGCACGACCUCGGCUCACGGCAACCUCUGCCUCCCGGGCUCCAGCGAUUCUCCU